UACAGAGGGGGCAAGCGUUAAUCGGAAUUACUGGGCGUAAAGCGUGCGCAGGCGGUUCGUUAAGUCAGAUGUGAAAGCCCCGGGCUCAACCUGGGAACUGCAUUUGAAACUGGCGGGCUUGAGUAUGGCAGAGGGGGGUGGAAUUCCGCGUGUAGCAGUGAAAUGCGUAGAGAUGCGGAGGAACACCGAUGGCGAAGGCAGCCCCCUGGGCCAAUACUGACGCUCAGGCACGAAAGCGUGGGGAGCAAACAGG
rnacentral:rRNA from 1 species